UACGGAGGGUGCAAGCGUUAAUCGGAAUUACUGGGCGUAAAGGGUGCGUAGGUGGUUGUAUAAGUUAUCUGUAAAAUCCCUGGGCUUAACCUGGGCAGGUCAGAUAAGACUGUAUGACUCGAGUAUGGGAGAGGGUAGUGGAAUUUCCGGUGUAGCGGUGAAAUGCGUAGAGAUCGGAAGGAACACCAGUGGCGAAGGCGGCUACCUGGCCUAAUACUGACACUGAGGCACGAAAGCGUGGGGAGCAAACAGG
rnacentral:rRNA from 1 species